rnacentral:lncRNA from 10 species
CAUGCCUGUAAUCCCAAAUCCCAGCACUUUGAGAGGCUGAGGCAGGCAGAUUAUGAGGUCAGGAGAUCAAGACCAUCCUGCCCAACAUGGUGAAACCCCGUCUCUACUAAAAAUACAAAAAUUAGCCUGGUGCAGUGGUGGGUGCCUGUAGUCCUAGCUACUCAGGAGACUAAGGCAGGAGAAUCACUUGAACCCGGGAGGUGCAGGUUGCAGUGAGCCAAGAUCACCCAGCCUGGGCAGCAAGAGCGAAAACUCUGUCUCCAAAAAAAAAAAAAAAAAAAAAUCUAUCAUAGGAUUAUAUGAGGAGACCAAUUUUAUUUAUAUAGGAACUAUCUGUCUUUUUACUAGAUCUCUGAGCUCUGGGCAGAGCCCACACUGAUUCCUGGGAUCUCCAAAAAGGGAGCAUUAUUACGAGGCUAGAAUAUGUGAUGCUUUUUCAGUGCACUUAAAAAAUUUUUUUAAAUGAAGACACUUCUGUGUCCGGAAUUGGUGGGUUCUUCGUCUCACUGACUUCAAGAAUGAAGCUGCAGACCUUCGCGAUGAGUGUUAGAGCUCAUAAAGGCAGUGCGGACCCAAAGAGUGAGCAGCAGCAAGAUUUAUUGCAAAGCGCAAAAAAACAAAGCCUCCACAGUGUGGAAGGGGACCUGAGCUGGUUGCUGCCCCUGGCUGGGGCAGCCUGCUUUUAUUCCCUUAUCUGACCCUAUCUCCUAUUACAAAUAGUAGGAGGCCGGGCAUAGUGGCUCACGCCUGUAAUCCCAGCACUUUGGGAUUCUGAGAUGGGUGGAUCACCUGAGGUCAAGAGUUCAAGACCAGCCUGAUCAACAUGGCAAAACCCCAUCUCUAUAAAAAUACGAAAAUUAGCUGGGCAUGGUGGCACAUGCCUAUAGUCUCAGCUACUCGGGAGGCUUAGACAAGAGAAUUGCUUGAACCCGGGAGGUGGAGGAGAUCGCACCACUACACUCCAAUCUUGGCGACAGAGCAAGACUCUGUCUCAAAAAAAAAAAAAAAAGAUUUUUUUAGAUGUUCCCACUUUAUACCAAAAUCUAUGUGGCCACACAAUAAAGCCCUUCUUUGCUAGCUCCAUGGUGAACCUCCUUGUGAUCUUUUCCAAUUCAUUAUCCUGUAAAAUAAGAAAACAAUAAAAAUAAGAUAUAAAAAUCGCUUGAGAUUAUAGCUAGCAUCUUAUUUUCUAUUUAUAGUACAUUCUCAUAUGUCUUCUCUUGUAAUCCUUAGAACAACUCAUAAAGUAGGCAUUGCCAUUUUAAAGGUGAGGAAAUAAGGGAUCAAAAAAGUAGAUUAUAAAAACAGGAUAGUAGAACUAGGACUCAAAUUCCCAUUCUAUUAAUUCCCCACUGAAAAAUAUACUAAGUCUUUUUUUUUUUUUUUUUUUUUGAGAUGGAGUCUUGCUCUCUCGCCCAGGCUGGAGUGCAGUGGCGCGAUCUCGGCUCACUGCAAGCUCCGCCUCCCGGGUUCACGCCAUUCUCUUGCCUCAGCCUCCCGAGCAGCUGGGACUACAGGUGCCCGCCACCACACCCAGGUACUUUUUUUUUUUUGUAUUUUUUAGUACAGACGGGGUUUCACCAUGUUAGCCAGGAUGGUCUCGAUCUCCUGACCUCGUGAUCUGCCCGCCUUGGCCUCCCAAAGUGCUGGGAUUACAGGCGUGAGCCACCACGCCUGGCCUACUAAAUCUUAAUUAAGAUUAAUUGAAAUAUAAUUAUAUUCCAUGUAAAUGGUGAAUUUUAAAGAGAAUAAAAAUCAUACGCGUUUAUGUUUGUAUACAGAUAAUUUAGUAUUAUGUAAAGCAUUGUGACAACCAGUUUGAAUUUGCUUGGAACUGACAGGAUAAAAAGUAAGGUUUUUAUAGGCUUAGUUAAGAUAUUUGUCUAGAAUGAAAUCCUGACUUAAAAACUUCAGAUCACAGUAAUACUUUUUUUCUUUUUGAGACAGAGUCUUUCUCUGUUGCCGAGGGUGGAGUACAGCAGUGAAAUCUCGGCUCACUGCAACCUCUGCCUCCUGAGUUCAAGCAAUUCUCAUGCCUGAGCCUCCCAAGUAGCUGGGAUUACAGGUGCGCACCACUACGCCUGAUUAAUUAGAUCACAGUAAUUCUUAAAUAUGGGUUUAAGUGUCUAACAAUAUGAAAAUAUUAAUUACCUUUUUAAUAAGUAAGAACAUAAUAAUACAAAAAGCAAAAAAAUAAUACAAGACUCAUAAAAACAAAACCAAACAAAACAAAAUGAUAAAGGAUAUAGAUAUUAAGUAGGUGACCUUUAUAUGGCAAAACACUCAAUGAGUUAAUUCUUUACUUUUUUCAUUCCAUUUGAAAAGCAAUGGGGACCAUUGAUCUCACUGAUAUGGGGGAUACAGAGAAGCCCAGUAAUUUCAAGUCCUUCAUAAAUGCACUGUGUGCACAAAUAUCACUUUGAGGCCGGGUGCGGUGGCUCAUGCCUGUAAUCCCAGCACUCUGGGAGGCCAAGGCGGGCAGAUCACCUGAGGUCAGGAGUUCAAGACCAGCCUGGCCAACAUGCUGAUACCGCCUCCCCUACUAAAAAUACAAAAAUUAGUUGGGCAUGGUGGCAUGCACCUGUAAUCCUAGUUACUGAAUCAAGGAGAAUCGCUUGAAUCCGGGAGACGGAAGUUGCAGUGAGCCGAGAUUGCACCAUUGCACUCCAGCCUGGGCGACAGAGCAAGACUCUGUCUCAGAAAAACAAAAACAACAACAAAAAAAAACAAGUAUCACUCUCAUAUUUACAGUAUAGUUCUUGGGAUUGAUCUUAACACCAGCUUUAGCACCCCCAAAUGGCACAUCUGAAAGACAAGGCUGAUGGUUGUUAUUCCAUAUAAAGGUUAAAAAAGUAAAAUGACAGAAAAUGCCACACAAUAUUAGAAAAACGUGUGAUGCUUUAAGCUUGAAUUUCUGAAAGUUCAAGAAAUAAACCUACCAUAGUUUUCUAAACUGUACUUUAAACAACAUUUUAUUGAACAGAAAUUGUUCAAUAAAAUUGGCUAGCCAAGUUCUAAUAUAUAUAUUUUAUAUAAUUAAUAAUAAUUAACCAAUAAUAAUAAAUACUUCAACCUCUAAUCCAUAGAUUGCAAAUACAAUGAUAGCUUAUUUUCUUGGGGAACAGCAGUUGGUGGGGACAGAGGGAAUGGGAAAAGGACUUUUGCUGAAAGGAGGGAUGACAGGAACACAAGGCUAUGGGUGAAAAGAAGAACAAAUAGAACAAACAGCAGAGAGGGCAGCUGGCCGGGGUGGGGUGGGCGCCUCCCUGGCCUUGCUCCAGGACUCAGGACUGGGUCCUGCCUGGGCCACCCCUCCUGCCAAGGCCCUGGCCUCUUCCCAGGGUGACUGGUCCACUCCUAGACCCUAGAACAUCUGAAGGGCAGGGGUCCCAAUGGCCUGAGAGGGUAUGGGCCAGGGGCAGCAGGCUGACCCACCUGGGCCCAAAAGCCACCUGUGUUUGGGGGCCGGCAUGCUGUCUAGAGAGAGUGCCCUGGGAAAGGGGCACACGGGAGUUUCUCUCCUGAGAAGCCCCCAUGCAGGUCGGGGCAAAGGAGAGGGCUUUAUCUGCCUUGAGGGCAGCGCUCCCUAAGUGAAGCAGGCCUACCCCAGAAGCACAGGGACUUGGCUGGCGCCUGAACUUCCUGUGCGAAGCAGCACCUGCUCUUGGAGCCCCUUAGCCUGCUGGUGCACACCUGGUUUCCAAGUCCUGCCUGGGGACUUGCUAGGUGGGGGACGGACCUGGAACAGGACCCUAAGCCCACCCCCUCCGCAUACCUGGCGGUCCAGGGCUCCCCGCCCAGUGGAGCCACAGAUGUUGACGGAGCUGAG